GUGCUGUUAUGGCUUUUGGCAGGAAGGCGUGUCAAUCGGCUUCGGCUGCGUGCCAGUCUAUUGGCUGGAGCAGGCCGCUGUCCGUUUCGAAUCCCAGGGUUGGUAAGUUGAGCCGAACGAGUAAUCUUCGAGCUUGCUUGCCUUAAGCAGAGGACUAUACUUGAGUGGAGCAAUCCAGCAGAGGAGUCCUUGCCUUGGGCAUGGCGAGCGGACGGCAGCGGCUUGUUAGGUGGUCGGAGUGAGUCUAAACGACUGACUGUUUU
rnacentral:SRP_RNA from 1 species